ACGAACGCUGGCGGCAUGCCUAACACAUGCAAGUCGAACGAUUGCCUUCGGGUGAUAGUGGCGCACGGGUGCGUAACGCGUGGGAAUCUGUCCUUAGGUUCGGAAUAACAGCUGGAAACGGCUGCUAAUACCGGAUGAUAUCGCGAGAUCAAAGAUUUAUCGCCUGAGGAUGAGCCCGCGUUGGAUUAGGUAGUUGGUGGGGUAAAGGCCUACCAAGCCGACGAUCCAUAGCUGGUCUGAGAGGAUGAUCAGCCACACUGGGACUGAGACACGGCCCAGACUCCUACGGGAGGCAGCAGUGGGGAAUAUUGGACAAUGGGCGCAAGCCUGAUCCAGCAAUGCCGCGUGAGUGAUGAAGGCCCUAGGGUUGUAAAGCUCUUUUACCCGGGAAGAUAAUGACUGUACCGGGAGAAUAAGCCCCGGCUAACUCCGUG
rnacentral:rRNA from 1 species